CGUGUAGGCGGCCAGACAGGUCCGUUGUGAAAACUCGAGGCUCAACCUCGAGACGUCGAUGGAAACCGUCUGGCUAGAGUCCGGAAGAGGAGAGUGGAAUUCCUGGUGUAGCGGUGAAAUGCGCAGAUAUCAGGAAGAACACCUAUGGCGAAGGCAGCUCUCUGGGACGGUACUGACGCUGAGACGCGAAGCGUGGGAGCGAACA
rnacentral:rRNA from 1 species